rnacentral:rRNA from 1 species
UACGAAGGGUGCAAGCGUUAAUCGGAAUUACUGCGCGUAAAGCGCGCGUAGGUGGUUCAGUAAGUUGGAAGUGAAAUCCCCGGGCUCAACCUGGGAAAUGCUUUCAAAACUGCUGAGCUAGAGUACGGUAGAGGGUGGUGGAAUUUCCUGUGUAGCGGUGAAAUGCGUAGAUAUAGGAAGGAACACCAGUGGCGAAGGCGACCACCUGGACUGAUACUGACACUGAGGUGCGAAAGCGUGGGGAGCAAACAGG